AUGCUCACUUUGACAACAUAUAUACUAAAAUUGGAACAAUACAGAGAUUAGCACAGGCCCAAUGCAAGGCUUACAUACAAAUGUGUGAAUCAGUCCGUAUUUUU
ensembl:snRNA U6 U6 spliceosomal RNA